rnacentral:rRNA from 1 species
CCAGACUCCUACGGGAGGCAGCAGUGAGGAAUAUUGGUCAAUGGGCGCAAGCCUGAACCAGCCAAGUCGCGUGAGGGAUGACGGUCCUAUGGAUUGUAAACCUCUUUUGUCGGGGAGCAAGGCCCGCCACGUGUGGCGGGAAGGAGAGUACCCGAAGAAAAAGCAUCGGCUAACUCCGUGCCAGCGGCCGCGGUAAUACGGAGGAUCCGAGCGUUAUCCGGAUUUAUUGGGUUUAAAGGGUGCGUAGGCGGUUUUAUAAGUUAGAGGUGAAAUCUCGGGGCUCAACUCCGAAAUUGCCUCUAAUACUGUAGGACUAGAGAGUAGUUGCGGUAGGCGGAAUGUAUGGUGUAGCGGUGAAAUGCUUAGAGAUCAUACAGAACACCGAUUGCGAAGGCAGCUUACCAAACUAUAUCUGACGUUGAGGCACGAAAGCGUGGGGAGCAAACAGGAUUAGAUACCCGCGUACU